AAACGAUUGAAGUCAGUCAUGCUCUUUGGUAUUUAUAUCAUUGAGUGGGGUCAACAUCAGUUUUGAGCGAUGGAUAAAGGCACUAGGAAGGUAGCACUCUCGGGUGAACUUAUAGCCUAGCGUCAUAUACAUUGUUUGGGACUGAGGAACGCAGCAUGCCUUUAUGGCCGGGAUUCGUCCACGUACAUGCUUAGGAUGUUGACAUAAUGGCUUUAAACGA
rnacentral:rRNA from 1 species